UGUUGUAAUCGCUGGCAGUGCAGCAGCUAUGGCGGAGUCAGGGAGGUCCAGCUCAGGUCUCCCUUCUACAGGGGACACAACGUCACUGGCACGCGCUUUAUCCCACACUACUUUAUCCCAGAUCGACCAGUCGGACGCGUCUCAGUCGCAGUCGUCUUUGUACAGGAUGGGAGUGAGUCGCAGGAGAAGAGUAUCCGCUAGCCUCAGCGUCGACUCCGUGGAUGUGAGUCCGAGCGCUGAGGCGCGCGUGCUCGUUAUCAACACCGGAGGGACAAUAGGAAUGAUGUACCACAAUGAAGUGCUUUGUCCUGAACCCAACGCCCUGGUGAAAGCUCUGCGCAAACUUCCCAUACUGCAUGAUGAACAAUAUGCACAGCAAACCAGACUGUAUGAGUACUACGACACUCCUGAGAACACACUGGUGCUGCCGAUGCCAACUCAUCAUGCUGAUGGACUUUCUCAACGUCUGUCCAAACAGAACAAAAGAAUUGUGUAUACUGUUAUAGAAUAUUCUCCGCUGCUGGACUCCUGCAAUAUGACAACUGAUGACUGGGCCACUAUUGGAAAAGACAUUGAGAAAAACUAUGAGAAAUAUGAUGGCUUUGUCAUUCUGCAUGGUACUGACACUAUGGCGUACACUGCCUCAGCGCUGUCCUUUAUGUGUGAGCACCUGGGCAAACCUGUCAUCCUUACCGGCUCUCAGGUACCGAUCUAUGAAAUGAGGAAUGAUGGGAGAGACAACCUGUUGGGGGCGCUGCUGAUCGCAGGGCAGUUUGUCAUCCCUGAGGUGUGCCUUUACUUCCAUCAUAAGCUGUUUCGAGGUAACCGUGUUACCAAAGUGGAUGCUGGGAGUUUUGAUGCCUUUAACUCCCCCAACCUGGCUCCAUUAGCCAAUGCUGAAGUUGAUAUCAAAAUAAAUUGGGAUACGGUGUGGAGGGCAAACACAACUGCAAAGUUCAGGGUCAACACACAGAUGAACCGCAACGUGGGCCUCCUUCGUUUGUUCCCCGGGAUCACUGCUGACACUGUUCGAGCCUUCCUGCAGCCACCUAUGGAGGGGAUUGUGCUUGAGACCUAUGGCAGUGGUAAUGCCCCUGAUAACCGCGCGGACCUACUGCAAGAGUUCCGGAAAGCUACAGAGAGAGGAGUUAUCAUCGUCAACUGCACUCAGUGCCUCAGAGGCUCUGUCACCCCAUCGUACGCCACUGGCAGGGCCCUGUGUGAUGCUGGAUUGGUACCCGGAGGUGAUAUGACUCCAGAAGCUGCUCUGUCGAAACUAUCCUACGUGCUGGCCAGGAAAGAUCUUGCGACACAAGAAAAAAAGAAGAUGUUGAGCCGAAAUCUGCGUGGUGAGAUGAUCGCUCACCUAGAGGGGGCCAAGCUGACGCUCAGUGACAGUCGCUUCAUUCAAGUCAUCGCAAAAUCUCUCAGCAUCAGCUGCAAAGAGGAGCUGGAAGCUAUUCGUGAUGCCCUGACCCCCACAUUAGCCUGUGCUGCUGCUAAGAUCGGCGACAUUGAGGCGCUGGAAGCAAUUAAAGAGAUGGGAGCUAACAUGAGUAUGGAAGAUUAUGAUGGCCGGACUCCUCUCCAUAUUGCAGCCAGCGAGGGUCACUUCAAAUUAGUGCAGUAUUUACUGAGCCAGGGAGCCACUGUAUAUGCCAAAGAUCGCUAUGGGAACACACCUCUUCUAAAUGCUGUUCGCUUCAGACACAAAGAUGUGGUGAAAUUACUGAAAAAAACAGGAGCCCAUUUUUCCCGUGACGAUAUGGAAGGUGCUGGAACCGAGCUUUGCAGCCUGGCAGCAAAUGCAGACUUGGAAGGCUUGGAGAUUUGGCAUUUAGCUGGGGCUGAUCUGACUAUGCCAAGUUAUAACGGGCAAAUAGCCAUAGAGGUGGCUAUGCAGUGUGGCAAUGAAGAAGCCGUGCAGUUUCUUCAGCAGGCUGCUCAGUACCGACCUGAGGCACAUGAGGGGUCUGAGGUGAACAUUUCUUUUUUCCAUCCCGUUUCAUUUCUGAAUACCCAAAACAUUUCUGGUCUCUUAAAUGAACUGCAUACAUUACCAUCUCCAGUCAUCUAAUUAGAUGAGAUACAAAAUGUCACAACCCAUUUGAGGCAUUAAUCAAAAGUCAGUCUUAGAAACUGGCAUUUUUGCCAUGAACCGAGUGGAGCGUCAUCUCGUCGUUGAUUGUCUGCUCUGAGCAAAAUGUGUGAAGUCACUGUUUGUAGCAUGCACUGUUUUCGGUUAGUCACUGUCUUUUCCAGAUUUUAAUAACUAUUCUUCACCUUGCAGGUUUUUGAUGAAACUGAAGAGCUCUAUAUGCAAGGUUUUGGAGGGAAAGAGAUCAACAACUUUAGUGCAUGGUUUGUCAUUUUGCUGUACUGAAAUGACUUUAAUAUGCACAAAAUGUGAAUUGAGGUUGUAACAUUCACGGCUAGCAUGAGCGUUUUUUGUUUUCUGUUCCUUAAUCACUGUUUCUUUAAUAAAUUGCGCUAUAAAUAAAGGCUUCGGUUAUUUAACCCUUAGUUUCAGUCAAAUGAUAACCCACUAAGUGAAGUUUCACUUAAUCUAAUUUUUCCAAACUCUGUAUUGAUGUAUUUACAUUCUUUAAAUUGUAAAGUUACUAGUUCUUGCUGAUUUGUUCAUUAUAUUGUGACAAUGGCAAAGGAUAAUUUUUUCCCCCCUAAAAAUACAUGGGUAGUUGGCAUGAUGUGCAUGGCUGAUUUAAAACUGUUCAAAAUAAAUGAUCUAAUUCCAUGUGAUUUCCAAAAUCCAAAAUGUUACUUCUGUAUGGAAAAUGUAUUUCUUAAACAUGUAUGAUUUAUUCUUUUCUUUUAUCAUUCUCCAGAAUGGUGAAUACAUCGAGUUUUCAGCUCCUCCACAGAAGUGCUAAGGAUCUAACCAGCAUCCUUUUAAUUACUGUUUCUUUUCAAUGUAUUUGUAUUUGUACUAGUGCUGUAUUUGUAUUUGUACAGCAGACAUUUUCACAAACCAGCUUAUCUAAACCACAGCAGAAGGAAGGUGGCUUUAGGAGAACAUUUUAGAGGACAGGGGACCAUCCACCCAGGUGACCCUAGAUAGUGAAUUUUAUGACUUAUGAUUAUGUACAUUGUAAUAGCACAUGGGUCAUACAAAAGAUAAAUAAACUAGAGUAGCUGCAUUGCACAUGUACAGGAUAUUAGAUAUGUGCAUAUUGUGAGUAAAAAUCUAAUCAUCACAAAGCUGAUUUUAUCAGUUCCUACUUUAAGCGUUCUUUAAAAAAUGGAUCUUAUACAAUUCCAAUUUGAACCCCUCAAAUAAAAUUUAAGCUUUUUUUUUUUUUUUGCCACUGAGCUAAUAAUAUAUUCAGAACUAAGCACAUAAAUGUGAGGGUAUGUAUGUUUAAGUAUAAAAAGUGACUGCCAUUUUAUGGUGCUGAACAGUAAUGCUGGAAUAGCUGAUGUGACAUAAGUAUUAGAAUGUAAUAAAGUGUUUUUGUCUAAGAUUUUUCAGUUCACAUGGAAGGAUGCAAUAUGUUUUGUACAUUUUAGAAAGUGUUUGAGUUAAAGAUGCCCAUAUUUGGGAACAGUUCUGAUUAAAAUAUGCUGUUAAACCAUAUCUUGUGUUCUCAGGUUUGCUAACCAUUUCAUUAGAAUGUCAUAAAGUAAAAAGAUAGUGUUAAGAUAUGCAUUAGCCAACAUUGGUUUGGCUUUUUGCUGUUUUACCAUCUGCUAAUGUGAACUGCCAAAAAAUUGUAGUGCAAUAUUUAGUCACUUUCCAAUUCACUUUAACAUGUUUUAAAGAUGCACAAACAGGUGUCUCGGGUAAUAUCAGAAAAUUGAGACAAUAUAAGUUGAUAAUUGUCCUUAUAGGAAAGUAGUUAUUAUUAUUAUUUUUAUCAUACACAUGGACAUGAAUUUAUGCUAAAUGUUAGAUAUUGGAUAAGCACAAAUAUUGAAAUAAAACAUUUUCACCCUAA